rnacentral:rRNA from 1 species
CACCUGUUCCCAUGCCGAACACAGAAGUUAAGCUUCAGCACGCCAAAAGUAGUUAGGGGAUCGCCCCCUGCGAGGAUAGGACGUUGCCACGC